rnacentral:rRNA from 1 species
UACAGAGGUCUCGAGCGUUAGGCGGAAUCACUGGGCUUAAAGCGUGUGUAGGCGGGUCGUUAAGUGCCUUGUGAAAUCCCAUGGCUCAACCAUGGAACUGCUGGGCAUACUGGCGAUCUUGUGCCACCUAGGGGCGAGCGGAACAGAUGGUGGAGCGGUGAAAUGCGUAGAUAUCAUCUGGAACGCCAAUGGUGAAAACAGCUCGCUGGGGGUGUGCAGACGCUGAGACACGAAGGCCAGGGGAGCGAACGGG